UACGUAGGGUGCAAGCGUUAAUCGGAAUUACUGGGCGUAAAGCGUGCGCAGGCGGUUGUGUAAGACAGAUGUGAAAUGCCCGGGCUUAACCUGGGAACUGCAUUUGUGACUGCACGGCUAGAGUGUGUCAGAGGGGGGUAGAAUUCCACGUGUAGCAGUGAAAUGCGUAGAUAUGUGGAGGAAUACCGAUGGCGAAGGCAGCCCCCUGGGAUAACACUGACGCUCAUGCACGAAAGCGCGGGGAGCAAACAGG
rnacentral:rRNA from 1 species